rnacentral:rRNA from 1 species
GACGAACGCUAGCGGCGUGCUUAACACAUGCAAGUCGGACGGUUGGCACUGGAAGGUUCGCUGGAAGGUGCUGAUAGUGGCGGACGGGUGAGUAACGCGUGAGGACAUGUCUGCAGGAGGGGGAUAACGUUUGGAAACGGACGCUAAGACCCCGUAAGCCGGGAGGUGAAAGUGGCGAAAGCCAGCCUGUGGAGUGACUCGCGUCCUAUCAGCUAGUUGGCGGGGUGAAGGCCCACCAAGGCGAUGACGGGUAGCCGACCUGAGAGGGUGGCCGGCCACACUGGAACUGAGAUACGGUCCAGACUCCUACGGGAGGCAGCAGUGGGGAAUAUUGGGCAAUGGGCGGAAGCCUGACCCAGCGACGCCGCGUGGGGGAAGAAGUCUUUCGAGAUGUAAACCCUUGUUGUACGGGACGAAGGAAGUGACGGUACCGUACGAGGAAGCCCCGGCAAACUACGUG